GCCCUGGGUGCGAUUCCGGCAGCGAGGGUGCGGGCCGCGAGGAGUCCUUGAUGAUGAAAAAUCUCAGUGAUCCAGCCUGUGCCUACCUUCCUCCUUUGCUUGGGCCUCUGUCCAACGCUUCACUGUGAUACGCGGCACCAGGUGGGGACUUCCAAGCCAUUUAAAUUGAGGCUUUAGACUUGGUCACGGUCAUUCUGGUGGUCCGUACUGGAUGAAUCUGGCAGUCCUCAACAUUUGAAUAAUCAUAAAUUUUGAUUUUAUGAAGGAGUCACGUUUUCAGAGGCUGGAGGAAAGCAGCUACCUAGGUGAAGACAAGGAGAAAAUGCUCUCGGUUUAUUUUUUUGUUUGUUUGUUUGGGUAAAAGCUAUCAGCAAAG